GGGGCGGGGCCGGGUGGCUCCGGAAGGGCCGCGGGGGCUUCCGCGGCGUCCAGGGUUCUCGUCCGCUUGUCUUGGGGCGGCUUCGGUACCGCACUUUCUGGAAGAAGGCAGGCCGCCUCGCUGCGCUGGCGUUUUCACCCUGAGACUCAGCCAGCUCCCCGGGGUGGGGUCGCGGUGGAGACAGAGCCGGGCGAGGUAUACAUUGGACUAGAGCAUAGAAUGCACAGCUUCUCAUCAACAUACAAUGAAGCGCUGUGGAAAAGUGUGGACUUCCUGAAUUAUGCAGACGGUGUCACAUAAGGACUGCCCUACACUUAGCCUGCGCCAGCGGCCAGUCACCAGUGGUGGAUCUCCUUACACGGUGGUGGUGUGAUCUGAAUGCUCGUGACAAGGAAGGCAAGACAGCUCUCAUCAAGGCUGUACAGUGCCGGAAAGAAGCGUGUGUCACUAUCCUGCUGAAACGGGGUGCUGACCCAAAUCUUGCGGACGACUGUCAAAACACUGCUCUGCAUUACGCCGUCUUGGCUGGAAAUACAUCAA